rnacentral:pre_miRNA from 1 species
UUGUAUGGAUGAGCAAAGACUGGUUUCUUGAAAUGGAAUCUUCUCCUUGUGAAGAUGCUCUGAG